rnacentral:rRNA from 1 species
UGUAAGCGUAUACCAAAGUUGUUGCAGUUAAAACGCUCGUAGUCGGAAUUUGGCAGUUCCGGAUGUGUGCACGUCGUGUGCGCGCUUUGCGGGAAUUGCUUUUGUGGUCUUGCGUAGGAUGAGGCACUUUCAUUAGUGAACGUCCUCACGCAACCACUCUUUACUGUGAGAAAAUCAGAGUGCUCAAAGCAGGCAUUUGCCGUGAAUGUAUUAGCAUGGAAUAAUAGAAUAGGACUCGGUUCUAUUUUGUUGGUUUGUUGGGACUGAGUAAUGAUUAAGAGGGACAGUUGGGGGCAUUUGUAUUCCGGCGCUAGAGGUGAAAUUCUUAGAUUGCCGGAAGACAAACUGCUGCGAAAGCGUCUGCCAAGGAUGUUUUCAUUGA